GACCGGCGGGGGGUUCGCUCCGGCGGAGGAAGCCGCAGCCUCCUGAGCCACGGGGGAACGCGGCGCAAUGGCCGUGGGUGCUGUGCCCGGCGAUGCCACACCUCCCGAGGACACUGGGGACAUCGGGUUUUGCUGAGCUUAGCAGCUUUUCACCGUCUUACCGAAGGCAUCAGACAGACGCUCGUCUGCCCUGAAGUGCAGAUCUGCAACAGCUCCCGGGAAGACUCUGUCUCUCUGUCUCUCUGUCUCUCUUUCUCUCUCUCUCCAGUCCAAACCAUUACAAGACCUGACUUCCACCAUCUGGGAACCUAACCCCUCUUAUGCCCCUUCUCCUUUUUCUACGAUGACUCACCAUUAUUUUUAACUUUGAAGAGAGAGAGGAAAUUAUGGGGAUCUUGGAAGCCUGUAUUUCUCUCUAGGAUUUCCCCAGGGUCAGAUAAUCGGUGUUACUAAGAGACACUAAGAUUUGGCUUCUCCAGGUAAUGUGAUUUGUUUUCUGUGUGCCAUGGUGGUUUGCAGAGAAUGACAGGAGCCGGGACACCAGCGCUCGAGGAGGGGGACUGCGGUGGUCCGCGGGGCAGCUGGAACCGCCGGCUCCACAUUCCGGCAGCCGCAGAGCUUGGCUGCAGGCAGGGAGGGCAGCAUGUCACCAGGGAAAGAGGUUUGGGAAGGUGUUAAACUUAAAAGCCGAGCUGGAGCUUUCCUGGAGGGUAGAUUGCCUGAGAUCGCACGGUUAAAUGUUAAUUAACCCUUAGCUGCAUGCCUGGAAAUGAGCUGAACCCGGCACCCCGCGGGGUCCUCUUGCCACUUCAGGGCUGGAUGGGGUUAUUUUUCUUCCUGCUUUUCUCUUCCCUUUCCCCUCUUUAUUUUUUUAACUAGAAUUUUUAUUUUUAGCCAAAAAAUAAGCCCAGGUUUACCAAUGCCAGUUUUUCCAUGCUGGUUUUGAACAGGUGAUGGUUCCUCAGGUGUUUUCUCUGUUCCACCUAUUGGGUUUAGAUGGGAGUUGUUGAACUCUGUCCCAAGGAAGGCAAAUUAACCCCUCCAGGAAGGGGAUAGACGUGCUAGAGAAGGGAUCUGCUCUCCCCCCACCAACUUUAUUCCAUCUCUCUCUUUCUCAGCAGGGGCGAUUUUCUUUCUUCUUCUUCUUCUUUUUUUUUUUUCCUCUGUUUUUAUCUCAUCCCUUCGCCUUUUCAUGAGACUCUUCCAAACCUACGUACCUGUCCUUCUGCAGGAUAGUAGCCCUGCCCUGAACCCGAUCCCACCACCGGGCGCUGGGAAGAGUUUAGCAUAAGG
rnacentral:lncRNA from 1 species